AAGACCUUGCGCUUUUGGAGCGGCCGAUGCCUGAUUAGCUAGUUGGUGGGGUAAUGGCCUACCAAAGCUUCGAUCAGUAGCUGGUCUGAGAGGACGGCCAGCCACACUGGGACUGAGACACGGCCCAGACUCCUACGGGAGGCAGCAGUGGGGAAUUUUGGACAAUGGGCGCAAGCCUGAUCCAGCCAUGCCGCGUGAGUGAAGAAGGCCUUCGGGUUGUAAAGCUCUUUCAGCCGGGAAGAAAAGGUUGCGAUUAAUAAUCGCAAUUUAUGACGGUACCGGAAGAAGAAGCACCGGCUAACUACGCGCCAGUAGCCGCGGUAAUACGUAGGGUGCGAGCGUUAAUCGGAAUUACUGGGCGUAAAGGGUGCGCAGGCGGUUUUGUAAGUCAGAUGUGAAAUCCCCGGGCUUAACCUGGGAACU
rnacentral:rRNA from 1 species